rnacentral:rRNA from 1 species
GAUGAACGCUGGCGGCGUGCCUAAUACAUGCAAGUCGAGCGAACAGACGAGGAGCUUGCUCCUCUGACGUUGGCGGCGGACGGGUGAGUAACACGUGGAUAACCUACCUAUAAGACUGGGAUAACUUCGGGAAACCGGAGCUAAUACCGGAUAAUAUAUUGAACCGCAUGGUUCAAUAGUGAAAGACGGUUUUGCUGUCACUUAUAGAUGGAUCCGCGCCGCAUUAGCUAGUUGGUAAGGUAACGGCUUACCAAGGCAACGAUGCGUAGCCGACCUGAGAGGGUGAUUGGCCAAAAUGGAACUGAGAAACGGUCCAGAAUCCUAAGGGAGGCAGCAGUAGGGAAUCUUCCGCAAAGGGCGAAAGCCUGAAGGAGCAAAGCCGCGUGAGUGAUGAAGGUCUUCGGAUCGUAAAAAUCUGUUAUUAGGGAAGAACAAAUGUGUAAGUAACUAUGCACGUCUUGACGGUACCUAAUCAGAAAGCCACGGCUAACUACGUG